CUUUCGGUAUACCAAGCUCAUUAUUAAGGAGAGAAUGGGAUAUGCUGCUGGUACUACUGGAACAAGUGGUGCUGUUGGUGACGUCACUGCUACGUCACCUGUUAGUGGUGGUGAUGGUGGUGACGGUGGAGAGUCGUCAACGAGUUCGACGGCGGCUGGUGUUGGCGAUGGUGUGGGAACGGCUGGCACUCCUCCUGUACCUGCCAGAGCUGACACGUCUUCUGCUCCUGUUCCUGCUAGGACUGACUUUGCGGCUGAGUCUCUUGGUGCAACUGCAUUGUCUCCCCUAUGUGCUAAUACGGCUACUACGUCUUCUCCCGUUGCUGGUUCGUCUACUAACUGCCUAGCGGCAAGUGGCGGUUCACAGCAACAACCGUGGAAGAAGCUACGCAAUCAAAUAAGACUUGCUCCUCAUUUGUCUUCACUAUAUGAACUUCCUGGUUAUGACAUUUAUACCAACUCUAGAAAUGUACAUGGUGGUGGUGUCGCUAUGUGUACGUGUCUAAGGUCUACCACUCAACUUUAAUAUCUGAUCCUUCCAUUGAGUCCUUAGGUGUUGAGUCUGCAAUUGCAUCUAAAAGCAAAGAAGUUGAGAAGGUUCUUUGCACUUUUGACACCGACACUCCAGGAUACGGUGAUAUAUCUCCAAAAGUAUUGAAAUAUUCUUCUUCUGUCAUCUCUACUCCUUUGGCCCAUAUAAUUAACCUCUCUCUGCAAACUGGUACAUUUCCUGAUCAACUUAAAAUAGCUAAAGUAAUUCCUCUUCUUAAAUCAGGCGAUAGAAAUAAUAUAAAUAAUUAUCGACCCAUUUCUGUACUUUCUGCAUUUAGCAAAAUAUUUGAAAAAAUAAUUUCUUUUAGGCUUAUUAAUUAUCUGGAACAAAAUUGUUUAUUAACAGAACACCAGCACGGUUUCAGAGCACACCAUUCAACUGAAACUGCAAUUUUGGAAUUUAUUAGAAAAGUAUAUGCAUGUCUAGAGGAAAAGUAAUUUGUUUUGGGAGUUUUUCUUGAUUUUUCAAAAGCAUUUGAUACAUUGGACCAUGAAAUUUUACUUAAUAAACUGGAACAUUUAGGUAUUAGGGGUAUUCCAAACAAACUGUUUCGCUGUUAUCUUUCUGGGCGGAAACAAUGUGUAUUUCGUAAUGAAAAAUAUUCCUCUUUUCAAUUUCUAACUAAAGGUGUACCACAGGGUUCAG
rnacentral:misc_RNA from 1 species